GCCGGGGUGGCGGAAUUGGUAGACGCGCUGGUCUCAAAAACCAGUGAGGGCGACCUCGUGCCGGUUCGAUCCCGGCCCUCGGCA
rnacentral:tRNA from 1 species